CCCUAUGUUAUUAGACAGAUUCAUUUGCAGUCACUGUCAUUACCACUAAUCAAACUGCAGCAUACACAGGACUUGCCUUAAGGAAGACUGAGAAUGAAGUCAUAGACAGUACAGUAAUGAAGAACAAAUUGAGCAUUAAUCAGGUUCACAUUUCCCUCUACUGCUUCUGGAAGAUUUGGAAUUGCAAGUUGUAUCAAGAAUCUCGCUUAUUAAAGAUCCACUAAUAGGUCCUCACUGCCUUUGAUGUAAAGUCAAAGCUUUACCCUACUCAAGAGUCUUCUUAAUAUGGUAUCUUUUUUAUCACCACAAUAUAUGCACUGUAUGUUAUCCAUCCAAAAAAUAAAUGCGGGUCAGAAAA
rnacentral:lncRNA from 1 species